CUGGUGUCGGCACAGCCAUGGCUGGCGCGCUGGUGCGGAAAGCGGCGGACUAUGUCCGAAGCAAGGAUUUCCGGGACUACCUCAUGAGUACGGACAAUCAGAGAUGACUUGGUUGUAGUGUGGAAACCAGUAGGGACCUUGGGAAGCUGCCAAACCCUUUCUAGCUCUGGGCUCAGCUGUAAGAACUGCUGAUUCCUACAGGAACACUUGGACAAUCCAAUACCUAAAUGUUAACCAUCAAUUAACCCAGUAAACCUGCAAGAUGGAAACAGAUUUGUUUUCACGAGUUUCACAUGAUUAUUUAAAGUAAGGGAAAUUUCAGCUGUUUAUAGUUCUGUCUUAACUUUUUCGUCUCUUCAUUCUUUUCCUCUCAUUUUUUGUAGCACUUCUGGGGCCCAGUAGCCAACUGGGGUCUUCCCAUUGCUGCCAUCAAUGACAUGAAAAAGUCUCCAGAGAUUAUCAGUGGGCGGAUGACAUUCGCUCUCUGUUGCUAUUCUUUGACAUUCAUGAGAUUUGCCUACAAGGUACAGCCUCGGAACUGGCUUCUGUUUGCAUGUCACGCAACAAAUGAAGUAGCCCAGCUCAUCCAGGGAGGGCGGCUUAUCAAACACGAGAUGACUAAAAAGGCAUCUGCAUAACAAUGGAAAAUGAAGAACAAGGUCUUGAAGGGACAGCAUUGCCAGCUGCUGCUGAGUCACAGAUUUCAUUACAAAUAGCCUCACUAAGGAAAAUACACUGAAUGCUAUUUUUACUAACCAUUCUAUUUUUAUAGAAAUAGCUGAGAGUUUCUAAACCAACUCUCUGCUGCCUUACAAGUAUUAAAUAUUUUACUUCUUUCCAUAAAGAGUAGCUCAAAAUAUGCAAUUAAUUUAAUAAUUUCUGAUGAUGGUUUUAUCUGCAGUAAUAUGUAUAUUAUCUAUUAGAAUUUACUUAGUGAAAAACUGAAGAGAACAAAAUUUGUAACUACUAGCACUUAAGUACUCCUAAUUCUUA
rnacentral:sRNA from 1 species